UUGUUUGUAAAAAGAGAGUAGAGUUGCGAAACAUCUUAAAGAGAGCGUGAUCCGCGACUCAACCAUCUACUAACCUAUUUUCUGUUUUGCAAUUUUCGUUGGACCAGAUGAUUUAAUCAUUUGCUGUUAUGAUCAGUAGGCAAGAUUAUUUGGUGAACAGACCAGGAGAGAUAUCGCACCUUACAUGAGAUACAAGACGAAGUGCAACAAUUUUAAGAUGUUUUCUUUCUAUUGCGAUGGUUGGAUCAUUCCAAGGUGAUAUGAUGUCAUCUGAUCUCAAUCGUCCUUUCUGCUUUGAAGGAGCGCACUUCAAGAGAUGGAAACAAAAGAUGUUUUUUCUCACGUUGAAAAUGGUUGUUGCCACAUGUACCACUAAGAAACCAAAAGUUCCAAAGACAAUUCCAAUACCAUGUCUACUGUGAAAGAAGUAUGGGACGCGUUAUAAAAGAAGUAUGAUAUUGAGGAAGCGGGAUCGAAGAAGUAUGCAGUGAGCUGAUACCUGUGAUAUCAAAUGACAGAUGAUAGAUCCGUGGAGGCUCAAUCACUUGAAAUUCAGAAGAUAUCACAUGAAAUUAUAAACAAAGGUAUGAUGCUACAAUCAAUUUCAAGUUUCAGUUAUUAUUGACAAAUUGCCUCCUCUGUGGAAAGAUUUCAAGAACACUCUAAGGCACAAAACCAAGGAGUACUCGCUGGAAAUCCUUAUCACAAGAUUAAGGAUAGAGGAGGAGGUGAACACGAUUCUUAGAAAGAAACCUACCGCAAUUCUGAAAUCGAAUAUGAAGCCGAAAGGGAACAAGAUGAAACGUGGAUCUAACAAGCAGAACAAUUCGCAUAAACUCCAGUCCAGAAGUAGAGUACAAAUUGUUUGUUAUAAAUAAAAUAAGCCUAGACACUUAACUAGGAAUUGUAGAAACAUGAUUCGUCUUGAUACACAGGUGAACCUGGUAGUAGAAGAUUUAGUAGCUAUGAUCACAAAAGUUGAUGUUAUUGAGGGGUCUAAAGGUUGGUGGCUAGACACUAGUGCAUCUUGUCAUGUAUGUCAUGACCUUAGUAAGUUUAGAAAAUAUAAUAAAAUUAAGGAUAAGAAUAUCCUUCUGGGAGAUCAUCACACAACAAAGGUGGUCAUGUUAAAGAAGUAGAAUUGAAAUUCACAUAUGGCAAGACGCUUGUGCUGAAGGAAGUUUUGUAUACUCUAAAAAUUUGCAAGAAUUUGGUCUCCGGAUACAUCCUCAACAAGGCUGGCUUUAUACAAACCAUAAGAUCAUACUUGUUUACUUUAACUAAAAAUAAUGUAUUUGUGGGAAAGGGUUACGCUACGGAUGGCAUGUUUAAGUUGAACUUGAAAAUUAAUAAGAAAUUAUCUUCUGCUUA